UAAUGUCUGGGAAACUGCCUGAUGGAGGGGGAGUAACUACUGGAAACGGUAGCUAAUACCGCAUAACGUCGCAAGACCAAAGAGGGGGACCUUCGGGCCUCUUGCCAUCAGAUGUGCCCAGAUGGGAUUAGCUAGUAGGUGGGGUAACGGCUCACCUAGGCGACAAUCCCUAGCUGGUCUGAGAGGAUGACCAGCCACACUGGAACUGAGACACGGUCCAGACUCCUACGGGAGGCAGCAUG
rnacentral:rRNA from 1 species